rnacentral:rRNA from 1 species
GACGAACGCUGGCGGCGUGCCUAAUACAUGCAAGUCGAGCGGACAGAAGGGAGCUUGCUCCCGGAUGUUAGCGGCGGACGGGUGAGUAACACGUGGGUAACCUGCCUGUAAGACUGGGAUAACUCCGGGAAACCGGAGCUAAUACCGGAUAGUUCCUUGAACCGCAUGGUUCAAGGAUGAAAGACGGUUUCGGCUGUCACUUAUAGAUGGACCCGCGGCGCAUUAGCUAGUUGGUGAGGUAACGGCUCACCAAGGCGACGAUGCGUAGCCGACCUGAGAGGGUGAUCGGCCACACUGGGACUGAGACACGGCCCAGACUCCUACGGGAGGCAGCAGUAGGGAAUCUUCCGCAAUGGACGAAAGUCUGACGGAGCAACGCCGCGUGAGUGAUGAAGGUUUUCGGAUCGUAAAGCUCUGUUGUUAGGGAAGAACAAGUGCAAGAGUAACUGCUUGCACCAUGACGGUACCUAACCAGAAAGCCACGGCUAACUACGUGCCAGCAGCCGCAGUAACAC